GAAAUGCGAUAAUUAAUGUGAAUUGCAGAAUUCAGUGAAUCAUCGAGUCUUUGAACGCACAUUGCGCCCCCUGGUAUUCCGGGGGGCAUGCCUGUCCGAGCGUCAUUGCUGCCCUCAAGCACGGCUUGUGUGUUGGGCUUCCGUCCCUGGCAACGGGGACGGGCCCAAAAGGCAGUGGCGGCACCAUGUCUGGUCCUCGAGCGUAUGGGGCUUUGUCACCCGCUCCCGUAGGUCCAGCUGGCAGCUAGCCUCGCAACCAAUCUUUUUAACCAGGUUGACCUUGGAUCAGGUAGGGAUACCCGCUGAACUUAAGC
rnacentral:misc_RNA from 1 species